rnacentral:lncRNA from 1 species
CUACCUACCGCCCUGACUACUAUAACCACCGCAGCUGUGCCAAGCACAGCCGACCACCGGCUAGACUGCAUCCCUACAGCUGACCAAAUCAACUCUUGCCCAAACACGCCCACCAACUCACACGCACUUCUGCCAACGCCCUCACCCUCUACUCCCCGCAUAUACUACGCCACACCGCCACUACAAUCACAAUAUCAAGGUGAGCUGAAUGCGCGCAUGGCUACCACAGACAGCCGCACGGAGGAUUAUACAAUAGCCCCCAAUGUCCGCCACUACCAGCCGCCGCGGACCACCAGCCCAACGAAGCCCAGGCCAGCCGUGAUAACUGAAGUAACUCACAGCUCACACACUGAAUGCUGCUGCAUCACUUGCGCGCACGGUAUCUUAUUACCCGACAGCCACACUCCUCUCAUAGCAUAUGCAGCUCACAUAAUUUUGCCCGGCGUCACCCGCCAGCCUAGCCAGCCAGACUGCUACUACAGUGUCGCGCCUGCCAGCCCUGCCCGACGCCCCUCAACUUGCCUCGCCCUGCCGCCCACUAACUCACACGCACUCCUGCCAACGCCCUCACCCUCUACUCCCCGCAUAUACUACGCCACACCGCCACUACAAUCACAUUAUCAAGGUGAGCUGAAUGCGCGUAUGGUUAACAGAGACAGCCGCACGGAGGAUUAUACAAUAGCCCCCAAUGUCCGCCACUACCAGCCGCCGCGGACCACCAGCCCAACGAAUCCCAGGCCAGCCGUGAUAACUGAAGUAACUCACAGCUCACACACUGAAUGCUGCUGCAUCACUCGUGCGC